rnacentral:ncRNA from 2 species
UAAUGCUGCUGGCGUGACGGUUCCCGGCGCGCAGCGGCGCAACGGGAUCAAAAGGGAACACGGUGCGGAUUACCCAUCAGGGGCCAAUGCCGUGGCUGCCCCCGCAACUGUAAGCGGUGGGCGUCCUCUCAUGCCACUGCAUCCGGCCGGAUGCGGGAAGGCGAGGGCGCUGCAUUCACCGUGAGCCAGGAGACCUGCCGGCACCCUUGGGCCCGC